rnacentral:rRNA from 1 species
UACGUAGGGUGCAAGCGUUGUCCGGAAUUAUUGGGCGUAAAGAGCUCGUAGGCGGUUUGUUGCGUCGGCUGUGAAAUCCCGAGGCUCAACCUCGGGUCUGCAGUCGAUACGAGCAAACUAGAGUGUUGCAGGGGAGACUGGAAUUCCUGGUGAUGAGCGGUGGAAAUGACGCAGAUAUCAGGGAGGGAACACCGGUGGCGAAGGCGGGUCACUGGGCAACAACUGACGCUGGAGGAGCGAAAGCCGUGGGGAGCGAACACGG